rnacentral:sRNA from 1 species
ACUUAGUAAUUAAUAGUCCACACGCUUAUCAAUACUUUUCACUGGGUGCUUUUUGACGGUAGUCAACAAGUUGGUGAACAGGAUCGGCGGAGGCUUAAC